CUGACAAAAGGUCAAAAAGAAGCGAUGCAAAAUAAAGGACAGAGAGCAAGAAGAAGAAGAGCUUAUGUUGUUCUCAAAUUUCGCAUAGAGCUCAGGAGGGCGCAAACAAAGCGUAAUUCGAGGCGACGAA
ensembl:ncRNA C45E5.53 ncRNA